UCAUAAUUCCCAAAAACAUUAUAUAUAAUAAAAGGCUAAUAUGCAAAUUGUCUCUGAGAGUUUGACCAACCUGGAGUUCGACUGCUUGCAAUGACAUGCUCUGUCCACCAGGUGGCAGUGCAAAAUGA